ACGAACGCUGGCGGCGUGCCUAAUACAUGCAAGUAGAACGCUGAAGGAGGAGCUUGCUUCUCUGGAUGAGUUGCGAACGGGUGAGUAACGCGUAGGUAACCUGCCUGGUAGCGGGGGAUAACUAUUGGAAACGAUAGCUAAUACCGCAUAAUAGUAGAUGUUGCAUGACAUUUGCUUAAAAGGUGCAAUUGCAUCACUACCAGAUGGACCUGCGUUGUAUUAGCUAGUUGGUGAGGUAACGGCUCACCAAGGCGACGAUACAUAGCCGACCUGAGAGGGUGAUCGGCCACACUGGGACUGAGACACGGCCCAGACUCCUACGGGAGGCAGCAGUAGGGAAUCUUCGGCAAUGGACGGAAGUCUGACCGAGCAACGCCGCGUGAGUGAAGAAGGUUUUCGGAUCGUAAAGCUCUGUUGUAAGAGAAGAACGAGUGUGAGAGUGGAAAGUUCACACUGUGACGGUAGCUUACCAGAAAGGGACGGCUAACUACGUG
rnacentral:rRNA from 1 species